AAGGACGAGUGGCCGUUCCUGUUUGAUGUUCCGUACCUUUUUGACCAUGCAUCCAAACUCCUUGGCUUCUCCGUACAAGACAAGCUGGCACAGGAACUUUCCAAAAAGGAAAAGGGCAUUACUGACUUCCUUGACUCAAAAGGAAUGAAGACUGGUGAAGGUCCAAUACAGCUGGUCUGUGGCAUUGCAAAAUACUUCAAGGAAGACCCUGAACAACUUUUCACCAAGAAAGAGGGUUUUCUUUGGGAUCAAUCCUGAGCGAGGCUCCAAGGCUGAGGUGACCGGGAAGAAACAGACCGGCAUUCCUCCAAAGGUGUCCAGGCUGGUGACUCAGCUUAAGGAGUUCGAAUGCAAGCAGAAGGAAUCUGAAUGGGCGAUUUGAGCUUUUUUCGAAGCGCAAAACAGAACUUUGUGGACUGAAAGUAACACACACAUGCAUACACAAUAUUUGUUUGAAUAGGUGAAUCCAAAAAAAUGGAGUUCUGAAGUAAAACAGUCUUUUACCAUAAUAUAAAUGUUCUUUUACAUGACUGUCCUCAAUAUUGAUUGCACUUGAACCUCUAGAGCUCACCACACACUUUGUGAGUCGAGAGGGUGACUUUCUUCUUCUGCAGGGUCAUUAUUUUGUGAAUACUGUAUGUCCUAAACAAAUCAGUUGUGUCCCUAAGUUCAGUGGAGGGACUUGGGUGAGGAGAUUGAUCUUUGCCACAGCAGGGUUUAAAAUUGGGCUGAGUUUGUCAAUGUGGAGAAUGGGGAGUGGGGAGUUGUAGGACAGUUUCUGCGUCUCCCCAGGGGGGGCUUCUCAUUUUGCACGUGACAGGUGAGCCGACAUCAACAGUGGCAAAUGGUGAUGGUGCCAGGGAUGGCCCGUUGUUUUUUUUUGUUUUUUGUUGUCCCCGAGUCAGUCAUUCGAUUUUUGAAACCAUAGUGAGUCCCAAUCAGAUACUUGAAAAUAUAAAUAUGAAGUAUUUGAAUGAAUAUGAAGUAUUUGAUAUUUUCAAGCAUCAAGUAUUUAUGUCAAGUAUUUGAUAUUUUCAAGCAUCAAGUAUUUAUGUCAAGUAUUUGAUAUUUUCUGUAAUAAAGAUACAGGAAGUUUUUCUGUAAAUUUAAACUUUAAGAAGUACUUUUUAAAGUACUUUUGAAGAAAUAACUAAUAUAAAUUUGAUUACACUGAACCAUAAUAAAAAUGUAGGAAAUGUUAACAUUUAGGUCCAAAUUCUGUAAAUAACUAAAUAUUAUAUCUGAAUAUAUGUAUAUUUUACAGAAAAUUUAAAGGUUUGAUUGAGGACGAACUUGGAGCCAUGUGAUUGAAUCAGGACAUCCCUAGUGGGAUGUUUGUGAAGGCGCUCAAUAGUCCGGAAAAUAUUUUCCAUUGUGAAAAAGUUUUAAAUAAGGCAACUGAACAUAAUGACAAUGCUUGAUAAACUUCAAAGUGGGAGCUCCAUUAUUUUCUAUUGUAUUUUAUGUUUUUGUGCAAAUGUCUCCAUUCAGUUUGUAUGAUAUACAGGUGGUGGAGGGGUUAUGUAAAAAUAAGCACAGCAUAAAUUCUAUGGGUUCCAAUCCCCCAUGUUCAAGUGGAGGGAAGUUCAAGUGGAGGGAAGUUGAGUGAUAUUUGUCACUGCUAAACAACUGGUAGAACUGAGUCUGUCAGUGUGGAAUGUGGAGUUGGAGGGGUAGAUUUCUACUUCCUCCUGGAGGGGGUUCCUCAUUUUCCACUGAGAGGCAAACCAGCAACAGCAAUGGCAAAUGCAGUGUUUUAUCGUUUUCCUGAAAUGUCUUUAACUAUGGACGAUUGGCACCAUAACCUCAAUUUCAUGGAUAUGUAUUGCUGCACUAAUGUUUUAUAGAAAACUUGUUGCACUUUUUUUUUUUUUUUUUAAUAGAGAAGUUGUAUGUUGUUGGAACGUUAAUGUUUAUGUUUAUUUAAGAAAUUGGAGUAAAUACAUACAACUGUUUGAACAAAACAAAAUAAAUAACUGUUCUCUUUCAA